GCUGUCCUGCUGCCCUAACGUGAGGGUGCCGAGCCGAAGGGAUGCAGCGGGGACAGGAUUGGUGCCGGGACCCCGACUGGAGCAGAGCGCAGACUCACAAGGACCAUGGAGUUGCACCACGUGAACGAGGUGCUGCUGGAGGUGCUGGCGUGCGUCAUCCUGGCCUAUCACCUGUCCCAGGCCAACGUCUUCUUCUUCUACCUGCUGCUGCUCCUGCCCCUCAUCUUCCUCUUCGAGGAGCCCAUCGGGAUGUGAGGACGGCUGCAGUCCCACUCACUGAGCAAUAAAGACCCGUGCCCGUC